UUAGGGUGCGGAUACGUAAAGUAGCUCACAAAACAACAGCCUACAUGAAUUUCCGGCCGUAUUGACAUUUAUUUUGAUACGUCAUUUGUAUUGUCCUUGUGGUGUCGCGUAUGUGCUCUGCUGUAGAGUUCGCUCUGCGGUGGAGAACAAGAUGCAUUUUGUUAGUUUUGUGUUGUGAUGUAUUGUCCCGUGUUAAUUAUGUAAAGAGAAUAAUUGUAAUUUUGGUACUAUUUUUAGUUAAAUUUUCUGCACAUCUUGCACAUCUUUUUUCUGCGCAUUCAGUCUUCAACAUGUAAUGACAGAGUCGAACAUACAUUUUUGUAUUAAAUUUGCUGUUGAGUGAAAUUUUUCUUUCAUACAUCACAGGAGUUGUCCUGUAUCUCAGCAUCUGUUUUAGUUGUUUUCUCUCACAUGUAGUUGGCUUGGCUUACGCCACUAUAUAUCUAGUUAAAUCUUGGCAUUCAUUUUUUUGCUUUGCUAAAUUGUAUUUUUGGUAAUAUAGAACAGACAGCCAAUUACUGAUAUGAAAAAUCGUAAGAAUAAUAUUAAACGAAGAUCCAUACAAUGUAAAUUGGAGAAACUGAUUACAUUACAACGAACGAGUGAAUGAUCAGUGAAAAACAAUCUAAGAAAUGUAUGGAUGCUGAGUCGUUUACAACACAUGUAAAAAAGUGCGCCAAAUAUAAUUUUUUUAAAAAAAUCUGCCGAAUUUAUGGA